AUUGAACGCUGGCGGCAUGCCUAACACAUGCAAGUCGAACGGCAGCACAAUAAAGAUUUCGGUCUUUAUGGGUGGCGAGUGGCGGACGGGUGAGUAACGCGUAGGAAUCUGUCCUGGAGAGGGGGAUAACCCGAGGAAACUCGGGCUAAUACUGCAUGACAUUGAGAGAUCAAAAGCAGGGGACCGAAAGGCCUUGCGCUCUGGGGUGAGCCUACGUCGGAUUAGCUAGUUGGUGGGGUAAAGGCCUACAAAGGCGACGAUCCGUAGCUGGUCUGAGAGGAUGACCAGCCACACUGGGACUGAGACACGGCCCAGACUCCUACGGGAGGCAGCAGUGGGGAAUCUUGGACAAUGGGGGAAACCCUGAUCCAGCGAUGCCGCGUGUGUGAAGAAGGCCUUCGGGUUGUAAAGCACUUUAGGUGGGGAAGAAAGGUAGCGAGUGAAUAACUUUCUGCUGUGACGGUACCCACAGAAUAAGCACCGGCUAACUCUGUGCCAGCAGCCGCGGUAA
rnacentral:rRNA from 1 species